rnacentral:snoRNA from 1 species
AAACCAUGAUGAGGACACAUUUGCUUAAAGAGUUGAAUCUUUGCCAUGCAUCAUACAAACUUUCUCCAUCAUAUUGAUUAAACCUUGUUAACUCGUCCCUGUAUUC